GCAAAAGCUCACACUCAGUCCCAGGAUUAAGUUACUAAUCACUUGAUGUUGUCUUAAUUGAAAGGCAGAUUACCCAGACUAGUCCCUUCUGCCUUCUGGGCAGGUCACAUCUGAAAGAUUAUCCUCUUUGAAUCAGUUUGAAUGUUCUAGUGACCAGGCCACACAGUUUCUCUUGACAUUUAAAAAUAAAGCUUCCAGUCUUGUCACUAAUGGAUUUGGGGUCCAGUACCCUUAAAAUCACCUCAGAGCUGCCUGAAUCCAUAGACUACUUGCAGAAUCACUGGUUUUACUUGGAUCAAGCCAUCUGAGAAGUUUGGCUGAAAUAAAAACUCAAAGCCCCCACAAUAUUGAACCACCAUUCCAGACCCAGCCAAGGUUUGGAACAUAAAGUGAGCUGAAUGAAUCAGCCUGCAGGCAACCCAGAGAAAGUAAUUGUUCAUCCUAGCAGCACGGCUGCUUUUCUGCUUAGCAUCUGAACAAGUUAAUUUGGAAACACAGCCUUCUGGAAAGAAAUGGCGCUUCUCUCAGCAUCCCAUGGAUUCAUGAGCUCCUUGAAUGCAAAUAUUGCCUGAUAUUUUCAUGAUUCAAAGCUCUUGGAGAGCGGAAACCAUGAUGAAUACUCCUUUAUUUAUUCCAUGUAACACUCCAGACAAGAGUGAGGGAGAAUGGGAGAAACAAGAAAUGAUUACAUUAUUGUGGAUACUUUUAUUCACCACAAUGGAAGUCUUUAAACAUAAAGUUGAUGUACAUUAAGAGGCAAGACCCAGGGCAUAUCAUCUAAAGAAGAUUCCUCCCACUUUUCUUCUGCUUACACCAAUCCAUCCAACCAUACAUGAAUUUAUAUUCAAUGUACUCAAUUUAUUCAGUGUAUAAUAUUGCUUUGUGAACUAUGGGAAAUAUAAAUAUGACUCAGUUUUUCCCCUCAA
rnacentral:lncRNA from 10 species